GCCUGGGUAGCUCAGUGGUAGAGCACUUUCUUGGUAAGAAAGGGGUCGUGGGUUCAAUCCCCACCUCAGGCUCAA
rnacentral:tRNA from 3 species